rnacentral:rRNA from 1 species
CACGUAGGCGGACUGGAAAGUCAGGGGUGAAAUCCCGGGGCUCAACCCCGGAACUGCCUUUGAAACUCCCAGUCUUGAGGUCGAGAGAGGUGAGUGGAAUUCCGAGUGUAGAGGUGAAAUUCGUAGAUAUUCGGAGGAACACCAGUGGCGAAGGCGGCUCACUGGCUCGAUACUGACGCUCAUGCACGAAAGCGUGGGGAGCAAACAGGAUUAGAUACCCGGUA